rnacentral:lncRNA from 1 species
CCCGCCGACAGCUUUGGUAAGGAUAACUGCAGACGAUACAGGUGGCGGCAUGCAUCCGACAACUCGUAACCCUUGAACCAACCAAUUGUCAAGCGUCGUAUACUUUAAAACCAAUGUCAGUAUGUUAAUUAAAACCGGGACAAAUAUUAAGGUAAAUCCUUGGACACAUGCAUGGAGUUUGACACGCGUCACUGCUCUUGUCAAUUCUUCUGUUCUCAGGGAAAGGCCGCUGUUAAAAAAUAUAAAUGAAACAGCCAAAUAUUUCACCGUAUAUUCGGGCUUCAGUAAUCCACCUUUUGCUCCAAAUGAUGGGUUUGCUUUUGCCGCCAAAAUGGCCAAAACAAUCCCGAUUAAAAACCAAUGUUUUUUUACGCUCGAAAAAACCUCCAUAUUCGAAACGCCUUCGAAGAAUCGCGUCCAAGCAACUCUCUCCCGGGGGGUGAGAUAGAUUUAUGC